rnacentral:rRNA from 1 species
AGAGUUUGAUCCUGGCUCAGAACGAACGCUGGCGGCGUGGAUAAGACAUGCAAGUCGAACGAGAGAAUUGCUAGCUUGCUAAUAAUUCUCUAGUGGCGCACGGGUGAGUAACACGUGAGUAACCUGCCCCCGAGAGCGGGAUAGCCCUGGGAAACUGGGAUUAAUACCGCAUAGUAUCGAAAGAUUAAAGCAGCAAUGCGCUUGGGGAUGGGCUCGCGGCCUAUUAGUUAGUUGGUGAGGUAACGGCUCACCAAGGCGAUGACGGGUAGCCGGUCUGAGAGGAUGUCCGGCCACACUGGAACUGAGACACGGUCCAGACACCUACGGGUGGCAGCAGUCGAGAAUCAUUCACAAUGGGGGAAACCCUGAUGGUGUGACGCCGCGUGGGGGAAUGAAGGUCUUCGGAUUGUAAACCCCUGUCAUGUGGGAGCAAAUUAAAAAGAUAGUACCACAAGAGGAAGAGACGGCUAACUCUGUGCCAGCAGCCGCGGUAAUACAGAGGUCUCAAGCGUUGUUCGGAAUCACUGGGCGUAAAGCGUGCGUAGGCUGUUUCGUAAGUCGUGUGUGAAAGGCGCGGGCUCAACCCCGCGGACGGCACAUGAUACUGCGAGACUAGAGUAAUGGAGGGGGAACCGGAAUUCUCGGUGUAGCAGUGAAAUGCGUAGAUAUCGAGAGGAACACUCGUGGCGAAGGCGGGUUCCUGGACAUUAACUGACGCUGAGGCACGAAGGCCAGGGGAGCGAAAGGGAUUAGAUACCCCUGUAGUCCUGGCAGUAGACGGUGCCCACUUGGGUGUGCGGGG